GUGCUCGCUUCAGCAGCACAUACACUAAAGUUGGAACGAUACAGAGAUUAGCAUGGACCCUGAGCAGGGAUGGCAUGCAAAUUCCUGAAGCGUUCCAUAUUUUA
ensembl:snRNA U6 U6 spliceosomal RNA